GACCACUCUGGUGGCCUAGUGGUUAGAGCAUCUGACUUUGAUGUUGGAGGUCAUGGGUUUGAUCCCCAGCUGAGUCA